rnacentral:tRNA from 1 species
GUUUAAAUAGCUCAGUUGGUAGAGCAAAGGACUGAAAAUCCUUGUGUCGGCAGUUCGAAUCUGCCUUUGAACA